GACAUUGUAACUAAGGAGCCAAGAGAUACAGGGAGAGUUCCUAAAAUUUAUGAUAUUUAUAGCUGGCAGGAAUAUGCUUCAAAACUGAAAGCAGCGAUUGCCAAGGCAGGGAGACAUGUGACGAAUGCUUCUGAGAAUGGUGGUAUACAGGUUGCAGCUCUUUCUCCUGGGCACCUGGAGGAAGCUGAGAAUGAGUGGGGCGAGUAUGUGAAACUGCGUCCAAAAUUACCCCGCUGUAGUGAAAUUGAUCAGGAAUUGACGGCGGCUGGUCAAGUGGGGGUUUAUCAAUCAAUCUAACAGUACCAAUUCUGAAUUUUGGGAUCGUUUGUGGGUAAUGGCAAGAGCCAACCGCCUAGCAGUAAAAGAUAAAAGAUCCGUAUUCAAUUUGGGAGCAAGUCUGCCCGUCUACAUACACGGGACAGAUCAUCUCACCCCUUCUUUACAGCCACCAGCGAAUGAAGAUGAUUACGCAACUCAGUACAGAGUGCUGCGUACUGAAGUACAGUGUGCAGUUGGAAAUGGAAUUCAAACUUUCACUAAUGUGACAAUGAUUAGGCAGGGUCCUAAUGAACCAUUUGUUGAUUACACUGAGCGAUUCACAAAGGCACUGAAAGAAUUUGUGGCAGCACCAGGAGGGCCUGACUUAGAAUCUCCAAUCAUGCGCCAUACUGCGCAGUCAAAUAUGAAUGCUAAAUUUACACAGUUAUUUCAUUCUUCUCUGCCGACAAAAAUUGACUGGUCUUCUUUUGUUGCAUGGGUGACACGGGCUCAAGACAUCGUGGAGCAACAGGAAAAAGGACUGGUUGCUGCGGUUGGCCAGCCCUCUGCUCCAGCAUUUCACUGUUAUCAUUGCCAGCGCUAUGGUCACUACGCAAACAGGUACCCUGAUCAAAAUUUAGAGCGAAAUUUCAGAAAGCCUAGUUCCUCUUUUCAACAACAGCAGACACCAAAACCACUUCCUCGAGAUUGUGCUAAAAAUAACCCUGGUGCAGAGAAGCUUUAGAGAAUACAGACUGACAGAUAGUGGCCUCCAUUUUAUAUGAACACGAAGACCCUCGUCCAUUUUUACAUUCUAACCUAGGAGGCCAGGAUGGCUACAUUCUUGUGGGCCCCUGGGUCUGCGUCUCGGUAACUGAUAUUAAUUUGCCUUUAACAAACAAAUGCAUCUUCAAGGUAUAUCUGGUCGCAGUCUUUUCACACAGUCUCUAUUGAUUUCUCCAAUAAUAUAUCCAUUUGAACAGCCUUUUUGGGUGCAAUUCUGGGUUGGAGAAAGCCAAGUUGGCAUGGUAAUGGGAAUGGAUAUAUUGAGUAAAUUGGAAGCAGAUGUUUUGCUGACUAGGGGUCAAUUAAUUAGUCAGUAUUUACCAAUUCCCAUACCAGAUUUGUGGUCAACUUCUAAACUUGAUGUUGGUCUUUGCAGGAUUGAGCCUUUGAAUGUUUCAGAUCCUAUACAUCCUCCAGUAUUUCAGUAUCGUCUUCGGAGAGAAGCAGAGAGAGCUGCACUGGAAAUUGUGAACCAGCUUCAGGAAUCAGGGAUUUUGGUAAGGUGUACUUCCUCAAUGAACUUACCUAUGCACCCUGUGUGAAAAAAAUAAAUAAAUAAGAAGCCAGAUGGUAGCUAUAGGU
ensembl:lncRNA